AUUAAAACAGACAGACAUUGAGCAGUCCUUGAACUUUCUGGACGUUGAUUUGCAGAUUUAGGUUGCGGUUGUGAAACGCAACGGAAUAAGUUCUUCAGAUCUCAAGCAAGCAACUGAUUACUAAAAGAAGUGCAAAAUCCUGCCUGUUACUUGCCUCACAAGUCACGAACAUAAGCUAAGCUUGUUUAUUUUUUAGUGAUCUAUUUUAUUUUUCAUCAGAUUUGAGACCGCUUGAACACUCGGGUGCCAUGUUAAGCUGAACAGCGCAUCGACAAAGACAUGGAAAACGGUUUAAAAUCUUUCUGAAAUCGUUCUGUUUCUCUCUCCAUUUAUUUGUUCAUUUGUUACAUUGUUCAGCUGGUUAAUAAUAUUUCCACGUCCUGGCUGGUGACUUUGUUUGAAACCAUCCAUUUUCCCCAGCGGUGCAGCAUGUGCCCUGCUGGCUUCAUGUUUGCCACAACCGUCAGAAAAAUGUUUCCAGUCUUUGAAGCCCGUAUUAAUGAAUCUAUCCUCAUAAGCUGCUUCAGCGAAAUGACGACAAGACUUACAAAAAACAGCAUCUCUUGAGAUGCUCAUUUCUUGAUGAAUUUAAAAUAAAAUAAGCUGCUUUGUUUUGUUUUACGUUUCGUAUCGGAAAACUGUCUGUGUCUGUCUUGAAUGGAUGACGUCCGCCAACGUCAUUCAUUUCAUUGGAUCACUUGCUGGUGGGGUAGAAGCCGCUGAUUGGCUGAGAAGCUUUCACUCAAAGCUUUCCUCGGGCUGCUUAUUGGAUGAACCGCUAGAAUGAAAAUCACUCACUACUCAUUGGCCUGGGCCAAAAUGGGUGGGUCCGGACCUUAAAUGGGUGGGCCCAGGCCCACCCGGGCCCAAUGGUAGCGCCGCGGCUGCUGGCAACACUGAUGACACAGAUGUGGGUAGUGCCCGUCUGGCCAUGUUGCGUAGACUCAGACGAGUAUUAAAGUUUGCCGCGCGGACGGGAGGCUGGACGCAGUUGUCCCAGUCUAAACACACUUUAAAACGGAUACAAAAACACACUUGAUGGCCACUCCACAUGCCAGUAUGGAAGCCACCAGCAGAGGUGGGAUAUUUGAGUGUCUCCUAAGGUCUCUGAGAAGAGUCUGGAGACUCCUGUGCUGCCGUGGACCUGAAGAGACUGAAAUCAAGCUUUCAGUGGAAGAAACAUCACCAGUGUUCAUUGACCAUAGCUCUGUCCGUCCAUGGUGAAGAUGAGAUGAUUAUAAUGAAUCCACUGAAGACCAGACAGAUGACAGAAAUUUUGGACCUACAUUUUAAAGCCAAGUUUAAAAGACUGAGAAAAUGGGUAUACUUCUCCUCGAAUCAUUGGUCCAGCUGUCCGACAUGUCCAUCUGUCUGCCAUACUGACAUGAAAUGUGACUGCUGCCAAAAAGUGAUGUGUAAUGGCCAAGUUAUGUGCAUUUUAUCAUUCUUACCUGCUCAGGUGACCAUCGUUUGCACAAGCUCUUCUGCCAUUGUCUCCUCAUACUAAUAGACCCAAGUUGUUUGUUCCAUGCAAGGAGGCAUUAGAUCUUUAGCGAGAUAAUGAAGUGCUGUACCAGUGAAGUGUCCUUAAAUUUUAGACCGGUACUGUUGUUUCAAGUACUGUCUAUUGGUUUUAAUAAGCGUAUGCACAUGUAGGUGCAUAAGCAAAAGCUGUGGCUGAAUGUUUUCAUACAGAAAUCAUGAUUCAUCCAUAAGUUACAGUAAUGCAAAGUCUUUGCACCAUCUUAGUUUGCUCUGGAUGAGAAUGCACCUCUAGAGAGCAAGGUUUGUUUGAUAGUCCCUCAUUUAGAGUUCAUUACGGCAAGAACAAGUAACGUUUGUGAAUCUGUCAAGAAUUGUGUGUGAACUUUAUGCACUUAAAUAUGCAACAGAUGAUUAGUGACUGAGGCCUGAUAUCUUCUGAUGCAUUUAAUUUAGGUUUUGUGCUGGUCCGUUCUCUACAGGGUAGUUAAUGAUUUUGUUUAACACUUACAAUGGUUUCUUACAAAGAGUUGUACCACAGCUGAUGGAUUUUAUUAUGCUGUUCUACUUGAACUUCUUAAAGGGAUAGUUCACCCAGAAAUGAAAACUCUUGUCAUUUGCUUUUUGUGUGGAAACGCAAAAGAUGAUUUAAUGAAUGUUAGUAAGCAAACAGUUUUGGUUAACAUCGACUUCCACUGUUUGGCCAAAAAAACACUUGGAUUAAACCAUCUUUGGUUACACAGAAGAAAAAGUUAUACAGGUUUGCAUUCAGGGGGUAAAGUGACAGAAGCUGAAUUGUCCCUUCAAGCAGAAGCUUGUCACUCAGGGCAUGACUGUUUACAGUCAGGAUUGGAAAUGUUAUUUAUAAUAUGUGGAGAUUCAAUUAGAUUCAACCUGAUUAUGUAGAUGUUACACAUUUCAAUACUAGGAGCAGAAUAGAGACAAUCAUAUUUGACCCUCUUGACUCAGGCAAUGAUAAAACCAACAGUUUAGGGACCUUUUCUUUUUUAAUAUGCAUGCUCCAAAACCUGUCUGGUUGGAUUUUUGACAUUUAGGGAUUCCCCUAAAAUCCAGGGAAGCAUAGGAUUCAGGAGUGUUGCAACAAACUUUAUCACCAUUACUUGAGUAUUUAUAAGUAGGCAUGAGGGAAGUUAUGAUUUCUCACAAUGUGCCUUCACUGGAAGUAAGUGACUACUAAUCACUUCCAUCGCUACCAACAAAGCUGUGUCAACAGCGCAAAUGAGCAAUAUUGCAUGUUUUGCAUACCACGCACUUUGCCCAAACUGGUGUCACAGUUGAGUGGAUACUCUCAUGAGUACUAGUGGGAUUCUUAACUGGAGGUUUGUUUUAACCGUAUACUGGUUGUUUUCUUUGAUUCAGCCCCAAAAAUUACAAUUAAAAGUGCUUUUGUGACCCUUCAUAAAAAAUAAAUAAAUAAAAAAAAACCUGUGUUACACAAUCUCUUCUCCAGCUAGUCCAGACUGGUGCCUGUCCUGAAGCAGGGUUUCUCAAACUCACCUUCUUGUACUUUUCUAGUAAUCCCAAAGACCUUAAGUAGUUCAGGUGGAUUUUACCAGUUGAGAAACCCAGCCCUAAAGGUUUCAAUUGUAUCAUCUUUUGAUUAUUUUGAUUUUUGCUAAGAAACCGAAGCACUUUUUUUUUCACAUCAUGGAUGUUAUGAAGUUAAAUAUGUCAGGGAAUACCAGUGUAUUAAGCAACCAAUAAUGUGUGUAUAUAUAUGAUUUAUGAAUGCAAUACUGUGAUAGGAUGUUUUAGGAAGGCUUUUUAAUAUAAUUAUUUCUUGUCUAUAAGUGUUUGUACAUGUUGCUUUAACCACAUACAGACUGAAUGUGUUGUAUAUUUUGAACAAAUAAAGUAAAAAUGAUCCAAAUCCA